UCCGUAGGUGAACCUGCGGAGGGAUCAUUACCGAGUUUACAACUCCCAAACCCAAUGUGAACGUUACCAAACUGUUGCCUCGGCGGGAUCUCUGCCCCGGGUGCGUCGCAGCCCCGGACCAAGGCGCCCGCCGGAGGACCAACCAAAACUCUUUUUGUAUACCCCCUCGCGGGUUUUUUAUAAUCUGAGCCUUCUCGGCGCCUCUCGUAGGCGUUUCGAAAAUGAAUCAAAACUUUCAACAACGGAUCUCUUGGUUCUGGCAUCGAUGAAGAACGCAGCGAAAUGCGAUAAGUAAUGUGAAUUGCAGAAUUCAGUGAAUCAUCGAAUCUUUGAACGCACAUUGCGCCCGCCAGUAUUCUGGCGGGCAUGCCUGUCCGAGCGUCAUUUCAACCCUCGAACCCCUCCGGGGGGUCGGCGUUGGGGAUCGGCCCUGCCUUUGGCGGUGGCCGUCUCCGAAAUACAGUGGCGGUCUCGCCGCAGCCUCUCCUGCGCAGUAGUUUGCACACUCGCAUCGGGAGCGCGGCGCGUCCACAGCCGUUAAACACCCAACUUCUGAAAUGUUGACCUCGGAUCAGGUAGGAAUACCCGCUGAACUUAAGCAUAUCAAUAAGCGGAGGAA
rnacentral:rRNA from 1 species